rnacentral:rRNA from 1 species
UCUGACGGAGCAACGCCGCGUGAGUGAUGAAGGCUUUCGGGUCGUAAAACUCUGUUGUUAGGGAAGAACAAGUACUAGAGUAACUGCUCGUACCUUGACGGUACCUAACCAUAAAGCCACGGCUAACUACAUGCCAGCAGCCGCGGUAAUACGUAAGUGGCAAGCGUUAUCCGGAAUUAUUGGGCGUAAAGCGCGCGCAGGCAGUUUCUUAAGUCUGAUGUGAAAGCCCACGGCUCAACCGUGGAAGGUCAUUGGAAACUGGGGAACUUGAGUGCAGAAUAGAAAAGCGGAAUUCCACGUGUAGCGGUGAAAUGCGUAUAGAUGUGGAGGAACACCAGUGGCGAACGCAGCUUUAUGGUCUGUAACUGACGCUGAGGCGCGAAAGCGU